AAACAAAGCCUGUUUCUACAGUGAAUAUCCUUUUGAUAUCCAUCAUCUGAAUAUUGCCUAAUAAAGUUAGCAAAUGGCCUCCAAAUGAACCAAAAUGAUUCAGUAUCUCAUCUAGCAAAGAAUGUAUUAUGGUUUUACCGAUACUGACAGAAAUGUUUAAAAUUCUCAAUGCAUUCCUUUGCUGGUGGAUUAAUAUGCAUUUUUUCUGUCUUGAGAUGAAAAACACCGUCUGGAUUUAAUGCAACACUUACAAAAUUGCUGAUGUGAGUCUCUGUUAAAGCUAUUUUAUAUACACACUGGAGAGUUUACCGGAGACAACUGGAAAGUUCACUUUGAGUAGCUCCAAUACUUGUAAUCAGUAACUAAAAUGUAUUCAUGGAGCUGCAAGACUAAAAGGCACGAAUUUAAUUAUCUACUUGCACGAUGUAUUAUGCCUGACCGUUCCGUUUCCUCUGCUAUUGAGUGGUAGAUGGUGGAUUAGUACCUUGAGCGGUUGCAUGGGAACAUAAUGGGAUCUUGCAUCAUUUUUAAUGCAGAAAUAAAUGUGAAUUUUGUGGAUACUGAAAGUUAUAAACUUGAUGCGUGCUAUGAGGCAGAAUGCUAUUCUUUUUUAGGUACUUACUCAUUUAGUAGUUGAAAACAAGAAAUGAUGGAUGAACAGUACUGUUUUUGAAUAAAUAUUAUUCCAUUUCC